rnacentral:rRNA from 1 species
GAACUUAGCAGAGAUGCUUUGGUGCCUUCGGGAACUCUGAGACAGGUGCUGCAUGGCUGUCGUCAGCUCGUGUUGUGAAAUGUUGGGUUAAGUCCCGNAACGAGCGCAACCCUUAUCCUUGUUGCCAGCGGUUCGGCCGGGAACUCAAAGGAGACUGCCGGUGAUAAACCGGAGGAAGGUGGGGAUGACGUCAAGUCAUCAUGGCCCUUACGGCCAGGGCUACACACGUGCUACAAUGGCGCAUACAAGAGAAGCGACCUCGCGAGAGCAAGCGGACCUCAUAAAGUGCGUCGUAGUCCGGAUUGGAGUCUGCAACUCGACUCCAUGAAGUCGGAAUCGCUAGUAAUCGUAGAUCAGAAUGCUACGGUGAAUACGUUCCCGGGCCUUGUACACACCGCCCGUCACACCAUGGGAGUGGGUUGCAAAAGAAGUAGGUAGCUUAACCUUCGGGAGGGCGCUUACCACUUUGUGAUUCAUGACUGGGGUGAAGUCGUAACAAGGUAGGCGUAGCGAG